UACGGGGGGAGCAAGCGUUGUUCGGAUUUACUGGGCGUAAAGGGCGCGUAGGCGGUCGUGACAAGUCACUUGUGAAAUCUCCGGGCUUAACUCGGAAAGGUCAAGUGAUACUGUCGGACUAGAGUACAGAAGGGGCAACUGGAAUUCUCGGUGUAGCGGUGAAAUGCGUAGAUAUCGAGAGGAACACCUGCGGCGAAGGCGGGUCUCUGGGCCGUAACUGACGCUGAGGAGCGAAAGCGUGGGGAGCAAACAGG
rnacentral:rRNA from 1 species